UACGGGGGGGAGCAAGCGUUGUUCGGAUUUACUGGGCGUAAAGCGCGUGUAGGCGGCCAGGCAAGUUAGGUGUGAAAGCCCUCGCUUAACCGAGGAAGUGCGCCUAAAACUACUUGGCUUGAGUACCGGAGAGGACGGUGGAAUUCCCGGUGUAGAGGUGAAAUUCGUAGAUAUCGGGAGGAACACCGGUGGCGAAGGCGGCGACCUGGGUAGAUACUGACGCUGAGGUGCGAAAGCGUGGGGAGCAAACAGG
rnacentral:rRNA from 1 species